rnacentral:piRNA from 1 species
UCCCAGGUAGCUUUCUGUCUCCACAUG